AUUGAACGCUGGCGGCAUGCUCUACGCAUGCAAGUCGAACGGUAACAGGCCGCAAGGUGCUGACGAGUGGCGAACGGGUGAGUAAUGCAUCGGAACGUGCCCAGUCGUGGGGGAUAACUACUCGAAAGAGUAGCUAAUACCGCAUACGAUCUAUGGAUGAAAGCGGGGGACCGUAAGGCCUCGCGCGAUUGGAGCGGCCGAUGUCAGAUUAGGUAGUUGGUGGGGUAAAGGCUCACCAAGCCAACGAUCUGUAGCUGGUCUGAGAGGACAACCAGCCACACUGGGACUGAGACACGGCCCAGACUCCUACGGGAGGCAGCAGUGGGGAAUUUUGGACAAUGGGCGCAAGCCUGAUCCAGCAAUGCCGCGUGCAGGAAGAAGGCCUUCGGGUUGUAAACUGCUUUUGUACGGAACGAAACGGCUCUGGUUAAUACCCGGGGCUAAUGACGGUACCGUAAGAAUAAGCACCGGCUAACUACGUG
rnacentral:rRNA from 1 species